rnacentral:rRNA from 1 species
UCUUCGGAGAGUUUGAUCCUGGCUCAGGACGAACGCUGGCGGCGUGCCUAAUACAUGCAAGUCGAGCGAAUCGACGGGAGCUUGCUCCCUGAGAUUAGCGGCGGACGGGUGAGUAACACGUGGGC